rnacentral:rRNA from 1 species
AUUGAACGCUGGCGGCAUGCCUUACACAUGCAAGUCGAACGGCAGCACGGGUGCUUGCCCCUGGUGGCGAGUGGCGAACGGGUGAGUAAUACAUCGGAACAUGUCCUGUAGUGGGGGAUAGCCCGGCGAAAGCCGGAUUAAUACCGCAUACGAUCUACGGAUGAAAGCGGGGGACCUUCGGGCCUCGCGCUAUAGGGUUGGCCGAUGGCUGAUUAGCUAGUUGGUGGGGUAAAGGCCUACCAAGGCGACGAUCAGUAGCUGGUCUGAGAGGACGACCAGCCACACUGGGACUGAGACACGGCCCAGACUCCUACGGGAGGCAGCAGUGGGGAAUUUUGGACAAUGGGCGAAAGCCUGAUCCAGCAAUGCUGCGUGUGUGAAGAAGGCCUUCGGGUUGUAAAGCACUUUUGUCCGGAAAGAAAUCCUUGGCCCUAAUACGGUCGGGGGAUGACGGUACCGGAAGAAUAAGCACCGGCUAACUACGUG